AUCGGUAAUUUAAAAUGUAUAAUAUUGAUGUAUUUUUACACUCGGUAUUUUGUUUGAAUUAUAUAAUUAAAACGUAAAUCUAAAACUCUAAUCAAAUAACAAUCUUUUUUUUUUAGAACCUUUAAAUUUGUUAAGUAGAUAGAAAUAUAUUAUUUAGUGUAAAUAAUCGAAACGUGUAUACCUACCUAUCGAAUAAAUUAGAUAAAAAUCAUUGACACGAUAGUCUUUAAUAUUAAAGUAGGUACUCGAAAUACCAGUAUUGAUCGGGUUCAGAUUAAGACAUGCAAUGGAUAAAAUAAAUGUUGAAAAAGCAAAAAUAGGUUAGUAUAUUAUGAGGUCUAAAACUUUUGUCAUACCGAGAUAACUCUUGCGUUGUAAAUAUCAUAAAUUAAAA